UACAGAGGGUGCUAGCGUUGUUCGGAAUCAUUGGGCGUAAAGGGCGUGUAGGCGGUUUGUUAAGUCAUGUGUGAAAUCCCUCGGCUCAACCGGGGAACGACGCAUGAAACUGGCAAGCUAGAGUACCAAAGAGGGGGGUGGAAUUCCCGGUGUAGCGGUGAAAUGCGUAGAUAUUGGGAGGAACACCAGUGGCGAAGGCGGUCCCCUGGGCCGGAACUGACGCUGAGGCGCGAAAGCGUGGGUAGCAAACGGG
rnacentral:rRNA from 1 species